rnacentral:rRNA from 1 species
CACUGGUCCGACCGGGUCUUUCCUUCUGAGGAGACGCAUGCCCUUCACUGGGUGUGUCGGGGAAUCAGGACUUUUACUUUGAAAAAAUUAAAGUGUUCAAAGCAGGCCUAUGCUCCAAUACAUUAGCAUGGAAUAAUAGAAUAGGACGUGUGGUUCUAUUUUGUCGGUUUCUAGGACCGCCGUAAUGAUUAAUAGGGAUAGUUGGGGGUAUCAGUAUUCAAUUGU